rnacentral:rRNA from 1 species
UAGGGAAUCUUCCGCAAUGGACGAAAGUCUGACGGAGCAACGCCGCGUGAGUGAAGAAGGAUUUCGGUUCGUAAAACUCUGUUGUUAGGGAAGAAAAAAUGUAUAGUAACUAUAUACAAAAGAGACGGUACCUAACCAGAAAGCCACGGCUAACUACGUGCCAGCAGCCGCGGUAAUACGUAGGUGGCAAGCGUUGUCUGGAAUUAUUGGGCGUAAAGCGCGCGCAGGUGGUUUAGAAAGUCUGAUGUGAAAGCCCACGGCUCAACCGUGGAGGGUCAUUGGAAACUAAUAAACUUGAGUGCAGGAGAGGAAAGUGGAAUUCCUAGUGUAGCGGUGAAAUGCGUAGAAAUUAGGAGGAACACCGGUGGCGAAAGCGGCUUUUUGGCCUGCAACUGACACUGAGGCGCGAAAGCGGGGGGGGCAAACAGG